UGCUAGGCCCCAGAGACCAGGAGCGCAACCGCAACCGCGCUAGCUUUGCCGGGUUCCACCCCGUGUAGGGUCGUAGUGAGCCACAGGGAGUCGCCCAGUUCCUGUUUUCCUAGUUGGAAGAGUUCCUCCCUCCGUCCUAACGCCGGUCAGCCCCAAGGGAGUGAUUCUGUACCUCCAAAGACAGUCUCGCCCUACUCUGCCCCACCCGGCUCGCACCACAUCCCACCGCAGUCGCUGAGGAGGAGUGAGUCCUGGAGUCAGCACAAGUGGGCCAAAGUUCAGGAGUUUCCGAGACCUCAAAACAGGGAGGCUGCAAGUCAGACAGACCUGGGAGGGAAGUACCUGGUUGGCCAAGGUUCUAGGGGUCUCUAAAGCUUCUUGUUCAGCACCCAGUGAUGGCCCGCCGAAGACUGGCCCUGGGCCUAGCAUUCUGCCUGCUUGCUAGCACAAGUCUCUGGUUCCUGUGGGGAUAUGUCGAGGACCUGCUGCUGGUCUCAUACUUGCCUUAUUACCUCCCCUGCCCAGCGUUGUUGUAAGUAUGAGGCUAGAGGAUUGGGGGGCAGUGUGGGCUGACCAUAUUUGGAGAGACAGGAAAGCUUUUAUGAUGACAUUGUUUGAGGGCUUAUGGUUCUGAGAAGUGCCACAGCUGCCACAGACAUACAGUGACCCUGAGAUUUCAGCCUUCAAGUAUCCUGCUGCCCUCUGCAUGCUUUGGCUUUAGACCAAAAGCAUGAGCUAUGGGUCUUGCUAAUUGCUUGCCGUGCCUGUUAGAUGGGAUGGUAGAGAUACCUUUCCUGGGCUGCUGCACCUGAGUAGCCUGGCGUCUUGGUACAUAGAAGGUAGUCAGUAAACAGCCCUGGUAGGAAGGGACCUCUUGCUCCAUUUUGUGUGGGUGCAGGGAACUGAGUGGCUUUAGCCUUCCCUACUUGGUGAAACUGUUUGACAGCU